rnacentral:rRNA from 1 species
UACGAAGGGGGCUAGCGUUGCUCGGAAUCACUGGGCGUAAAGGGUGCGUAGGCGGGUUUUUAAGUCAGGGGUGAAAUCCUGGAGCUCAACUCCAGAACUGCCUUUUGAUACUGAAAAAUCUUGAGUUCGGGAGAGGUGAGUGGAACUGCGAGUGUAGAGGUGAAAUUCGUAGAUAUUCGCAAGAACACCAGUGGCGAAGGCGGCUCACUGGCCCGAUACUGACGCUGAGGCACGAAAGCGUGGGGGAGCAAACAGG